GCCAUCGGUGGCUCAGAUGGAAUAGAGCGUCUGCCAUGUAAGUAGGAGAUCCCGGGUUCAAGUCCCGGUCGGGGCA